rnacentral:tRNA from 1 species
GUAGACAUAGUUUAAUCAAAACAUUAGAUUGUGAUUCUAAAAAUAGGGGUUAAACCCCCCUUGUCCACC